rnacentral:rRNA from 1 species
UACGUAGGGUGCGAGCGUUAAUCGGAAUUACUGGGCGUAAAGGGUGUGCAGGCGGUUUUGCAAGAUGGAUGUGAAAGCCCCGGGCUUAACCUGGGAAAGCCAUACAUGACUGCAAGACUAGAGUGCGUCAGAGGGGGGUGGAAUUCCAAGUGUAGCAGUGAAAUGCGUAGAUAUUUGGAAGAACACCGAUGGCGAAGGCAGCCCCCUGGGACGUAACUGACGCUCAUACACGAAAGCGUGGGGAGCAAACAGG